rnacentral:rRNA from 3 species
GAGUGGAUAACCGCUGAAAGCAUCUAAGUGGGAAGCCCACCUCAAGAUGAGUACUCUCACUACGUUAGGUAGGUAAGGUCACGGGAAGACGACCCGUUAAUAGGUGUUAGGUGGAAGUGCAGUAAUGUAUGGAGCCUAGAUAUACUAACAGACCGAGGGCUUGACCUC